UAGGUGGCGUCCGCGUGAGGUGGAGGUGUCAGCGGCUCCUGUCUGCAGCUUCCUGGGGUCCUGGCGGCGCUCUUCUCCUGAGCCAGAAUCCAGCAGGAAGGACAGAAUGGGCGCUAGAGUGUGAAAAGAGGGCGAACUCACGUGGAUGUGACUCUCCGGGUCGCUCUUCCCUGUCACCCAGCUCCUCCUGCCGGUUUCCUGUGGGCAUCGCCUGCAUUGCUUUUAUCCCGGGGACGGAUUAGGGGGUACAGCUGCUGUUACCCCACCGGGUUUCUACAGCAGAAAGUCCGAGAGCGAACUCAGAACUGGACAGACUGGCCUUCAUUCCUGGCCUAGUCACCCUCUUGGUGACCUUGGGCAGGUUACCCGAAAUAAUAGUGCUCUUAUCAUAGGGUUGUGGGAAUUAAGUGUCCAAAUAUGUUGUGUAAAUGCUUCCUAAGUGCUUGUUGUAUAGUAAAUGUUCGAUAAAUACUGUUUUCCUAAGGGGAAGGAGAGGAAAGGAUAAUGCACUUUAAUUUUUCUUGAGAAAGUCUUUAUUACAUUAAGCAAGCCUUGAUUUGUAAUCUUUUUCUAUUUUUUUACUUUUUAUUACUAUUAUUUUUAUUUUAUUUUAUUUUUUGAGACGGAGUUUUGCUCUUGUUGCCCAGGCUGGAGUGCAAUGAUGCUAUCUCAGCUCACUGCAACCUCCGCCUCCCAGGUUCAAGCGAUUCUCCUGCCUCGGCCUCCCAAGUAGCUGGGAUUACAGGCGCCGGCUACCAUGCCCAGCUAAUUCUGUAUUUUUAGUAGAGGCAGGGUUUCACCAUGUUGGUCAGGCUGGCUGGUUUCGAACUCCUGACUUCGGGUGAUCCACCCGCCUCAGCCCUCCAAAGUGCUGGGAUUACAGACUCACAUAAGCCACCGUGCCGGGCCUAUUAUUAUUAUUUUAUGUAUAUAUAUGUGUCUAUAUAAUUUUUUUUUUGAGACGGAGUCUUGCUCUAUCGCCCGGGCCAGAGUGCAGUGGCAUGACCUUGGCUCACUGCAGCCUCUGCCUCCUCUGCUCAAGCGAUUCUUCAGCCUCAGCCUCCCGAGUAGCUGGGGUUACAGGCACUGGCCACU
rnacentral:lncRNA from 10 species